rnacentral:lncRNA from 1 species
AUGCAGGUUAGUGGGCGGCACGCUGCCAUCGCUCCCAGCCCGGAACCCUCCGCACAAGGACCGCGAGCCGCACCGCCAGAGCCCGUCCCGUCACCCCGAACGAAUACACGGAUUUAUACGGCUGCAGCAAUUCUAGAAAUGCGAACCGCGAGCCCGUUUGGAGGCGUAUCGACGCGUCCUUUUAGCGGCACCGGCACCGCCGGCAGCAGCGACCGGCGGGGCAGCGGGGUCCGGCGGCACCCCUGGAAGCGGGGCGGGAUGCGGGGAGCCGCUUUUCUUUGUCUCCGCGGCGCUGACAAAAGCCGUGCCGGCUGCCCCCCAUCACACACGCACCCCACGCCUCGUGCCGGGCAGAAGGAGCGGGACAGAGGGGAGCGCUACCGCGGGACCGCCGGCUCGGGGCACGAUGAGGGACGGCAGGGCAUGGCAUGGCAGGGCAUGGCAUGGCAGGGCAGGGCAGGGCGGCCCCGGCUGCCCCGCAGGCCGCCGUCCGACCCGGGCCGGAGGAGGCGGCGGCGGGCUCCGGAGCCCGGCGGGAGGGCGGCGCGGGGCGCUGAGCUGCAGCCCAACGGGGCUUCCCCGCCACCCCGCGCCCGGCCGCCGUCAGCCCCGCGUCCCCCGCAGCCCCGGGCGUUAAGGACGAACACGCCGCCGGGGAGGAGGGAGCGAGGGGCGGCGGGGCUGGGGCGGCAGGGAAGGCCCGGGGCGGCUCCCGCGGGCGCGGCGCUCACCUGCAGCCGCUCUCACGGCGUUCCCCGGGGCGGGCGCUGGCACUGCGCGGCGAGCCGAGAGGCGGCCCCGACACCGACACCGCCCAUCGCCUUGGCGGCGCCCCGCGGCCGUUCCCCCGCGUUCCCGUGGCCGCACAGCCCCGCCGGCCGGGCAGCCCGCGCGGGUCCCGCCGCGCCUCACGCCGCCACCAUCGCCCUCCUGCCGGCAACGCGCAGCGUCUCGCCCCGGCCCGGCCCGACCCACCGCCCCCCGGCCGGGCGCGGCCCGCCCCCCGCCGUCCCAUUGGCUGAGCCGCGCGCCCCGCACCUCCCAUUGGCCGCCGCUCCGCGUCAAUCACCCGCGGCCGGAGGGGCGAUCCUGCAGCGGGCAGAGCCGAGCGCUGAGGGAAGGCGGCGCUCGCGAGCCCUCCGCUCCUCAGCUCCCACUACGGCCCAUCUCCGUCCCGAUUGGCCGCGGUACCCGAGGAGGCGGGGUCGCGCGUUAGGAAAAGCCUCGCGAUAG